rnacentral:lncRNA from 1 species
GCUUAAGCAGCUGAAAUCUGUUUGCUGUCCUCUAUACACUUGCAUUUGGAGGAGAGUUUAUGAUAAUUAUCUAAUUAAGAAGCUGCCACAGAGGUGGGGGCAGAGAUCGUCUUCAAGGUUGCUGUCAUCUGGAAUUUUAUGUACUUCAUUUUCUUUCACUCUGUAUGCCUGUCACAUCGGCUUAACUUCCAAAUCCAAGUCAAAAGUUCAGUGCAUCUUUUCUGAGCAGAAUGAUAGAUUGGCUCAGUCCAAGGUGAAAUCCCAGGCAGUGCAGGAGAGAGCAAGGACUAUCAUCAUAUGACAGUGACACCUCUCCUGCUCCAUCAGCCAAACUGCGCUAGCCAAAUCGUGAAUUGCAGCAGCUCACUGCUAUUGGUAGUAUUGUCAUAUAAAGUGUGAAAUAUUUGCUCUGCUCUGGUGUGUUCAUAAGUUUCCCAUUAAGAAUUCAAAUAUAAAGAUCUUUUCCAGCUGCACAAAUUUCCCUUAAUACCUUUCCCCCACUCACUUCCAUCUGGUAUUGCCUCAAUUGCAUGGAGGUGUAACUGGUUGCCUGGGAUAAGCAACCUGGAGCAAAGCUGCUCCUAUGUUUUGAACAUAGUGCAUUUUAAAAUAAGGCAACCUCCCACCCACACCCAAGAAUUCUUUCUUACAUACCAAUUUUUUUAAAACUUUUUUCUUAUCCAUUUCCUUCCUGAUAUGUGGCUGCUUUGCUGCCUUUUUU